rnacentral:rRNA from 1 species
GACGAACGCUGGCGGCGUGCUUAACACAUGCAAGUCGAACGGUGAAGGGACCGGUUUUUGCUGGUUCUGGAUGAGUGGCGAACGGGUGAGUAACACGUGAGUAACCUGCCCCCUUCUUCUGGAUAACCGCAUGAAAGUGUGGCUAAUUCGGGAUAUUCUGCGCCUGCUGCAUGGUGGGUGUGGGAAAGAUAUUGUUUCGGUGGGGGAUGGGCUCGCGGCCUAUCAGCUUGUUGGUGGGGUGAUGGCCUACCAAGGCGGUGACGGGUAGCCGGCCUGAGAGGGUGGACGGUCACACUGGGACUGAGACACGGCCCAGACUCCUACGGGAGGCAGCAGUGGGGAAUAUUGCACAAUGGGCGCAAGCCUGAUGCAGCGACGCCGCGUGAGGGAUGGAGGCCUGCGGGUUGUAAACCUCUUUCGCCAGUGAAGCAGGCCUGUCCCUUGUGUGGGUGGGUUGACGGUAGCUGGAGAAGAAGCGCCGGCUAACUACGUG